rnacentral:rRNA from 1 species
GGGUUGUGAGGUUAAGCGACUAAGCGUACACGGUGGAUGCCCUGGCAGUCAGAGGCGAUGAAGGACGUGCUAAUCUGCGAAAAGCGCCGGCGAGGUGAUAUGAACCUUUGACCCGGCGAUGUCCGAAUGGGGAAACCCAGUGCAAUUCGUUGCACUAUCGUUAACUGAAUACAUAGGUUAACGAGGCGAACCGGGGGAACUGAAACAUCUAAGUACCCCGAGGAAAAGAAAUCAACCGAGAUUCCCCCAGUAGCGGCGAGCGAACGGGGAGCAGCCCAGAGUCUGAAUCAGCUUGUGUGUUAGUGGAAGCGUCUGGAAAGUCGCACGGUACAGGGUGACAGUCCCGUACACGAAAGCACACAGGCUGUGAACUCGAAGAGUAGGGCGGGACACGUGGUAUCCUGUCUGAAUAUGGGGGGACCAUCCUCCAAGGCUAAAUACUCCUGACUGACCGAUAGUGAACCAGUACCGUGAGGGAAAGGCGAAAAGAACCCCGGCGAGGGGAGUGAAAAAGAACCUGAAACCGUGUACGUACAAGCAGUGGGAGCACCUUCGUGGUGUGACUGCGUACCUUUUGUAUAAUGGGUCAGCGACUUAUAUUCUGUAGCAAGGUUAACCGUAUAGGGGAGCCGAAGGGAAACCGAGUCUUAACUGGGCGUUAAGUUGCAGGGUAUAGACCCGAAACCCGGUGAUCUAGCCAUGGGCAGGUUGAAGGUUGGGUAACACUAACUGGAGGACCGAACCGACUAAUGUUGAAAAAUUAGCGGAUGACUUGUGGCUGGGGGUGAAAGGCCAAUCAAACCGGGAGAUAGCUGGUUCUCCCCGAAAGCUAUUUAGGUAGCGCCUCGUGAACUCAUCUUCGGGGGUAGAGCACUGUUUCGGCUAGGGGGCCAUCCCGGCUUACCAACCCGAUGCAAACUACGAAUACCGAAGAAUGUUAUCACGGGAGACACACGGCGGGUGCUAACGUCCGUCGUGAAGAGGGAAACAACCCAGACCGCCAGCUAAGGUCCCAAAGUCAUGGUUAAGUGGGAAACGAUGUGGGAAGGCACAGACAGCCAGGAUGUUGGCUUAGAAGCAGCCAUCAUUUAAAGAAAGCGUAAUAGCUCACUGGUCGAGUCGGCCUGCGCGGAAGAUGUAACGGGGCUAAACCAUGCACCGAAGCUGCGGCAGCGACACUUAGGUGUUGUUGGGUAGGGGAGCGUUCUGUAAGCCGUUGAAGGUGGCCUGUGAGGGUUGCUGGAGGUAUCAGAAGUGCGAAUGCUGACAUAAGUAACGAUAAAGCGGGUGAAAAGCCCGCUCGCCGGAAGACCAAGGGUUCCUGUCCAACGUUAAUCGGGGCAGGGUGAGUCGACCCCUAAGGCGAGGCCGAAAGGCGUAGUCGAUGGGAAACAGGUUAAUAUUCCUGUACUUGGUGUUACUGCGAAGGGGGACGGAGAAGGCUAUGUUAGCCGGGCGACGGUUGUCCCGGUUUAAGCAUGUAGGCGGAGGUUCCAGGUAAAUCCGGUACCUUUUAACGCUGAGGUGUGAUGACGAGGCACUACGGUGCUGAAGUAACAAAUGCCCUGCUUCCAGGAAAAGCCUCUAAGCAUCAGGUAACACGAAAUCGUACCCCAAACCGACACAGGUGGUCAGGUAGAGAAUACCAAGGCGCUUGAGAGAACUCGGGUGAAGGAACUAGGCAAAAUGGUGCCGUAACUUCGGGAGAAGGCACGCUGAUAUGUAGGUGAAGCCCCUGCGGGUGGAGCUGAAAUCAGUCGAAGAUACCAGCUGGCUGCAACUGUUUAUUAAAAACACAGCACUGUGCAAACACGAAAGUGGACGUAUACGGUGUGACGCCUGCCCGGUGCCGGAAGGUUAAUUGAUGGGGUUAGCGGCAACGCGAAGCUCUUGAUCGAAGCCCCGGUAAACGGCGGCCGUAACUAUAACGGUCCUAAGGUAGCGAAAUUCCUUGUCGGGUAAGUUCCGACCUGCACGAAUGGCGUAAUGAUGGCCAGGCUGUCUCCACCCGAGACUCAGUGAAAUUGAACUCGCUGUGAAGAUGCAGUGUACCCGCGGCAAGACGGAAAGACCCCGUGAACCUUUACUAUAGCUUGACACUGAACACUGGUCCUUGAUGUGUAGGAUAGGUGGGAGGCUUUGAAGCGUGGACGCCAGUCUGCGUGGAGCCGUCCUUGAAAUACCACCCUUUAAUGGCUGGUGUUCUAACGUAGACCCGUGAUCCGGGUUGCGGACAGUGUCUGGUGGGUAGUUUGACUGGGGCGGUCUCCUCCCAAAGAGUAACGGAGGAGCACGAAGGUUAGCUAAUCCUGGUCGGACAUCAGGAGGUUAGUGCAAUGGCAUAAGCUAGCUUGACUGCGAGAGUGACGGCUCGAGCAGGUGCGAAAGCAGGUCAUAGUGAUCCGGUGGUUCUGAAUGGAAGGGCCAUCGCUCAACGGAUAAAAGGUACUCCGGGGAUAACAGGCUGAUACCGCCCAAGAGUUCAUAUCGACGGCGGUGUUUGGCACCUCGAUGUCGGCUCAUCACAUCCUGGGGCUGAAGUAGGUCCCAAGGGUAUGGCUGUUCGCCAUUUAAAGUGGUACGCGAGCUGGGUUUAGAACGUCGUGAGACAGUUCGGUCCCUAUCUGCCGUGGGCGCUGGAGAAUUGAGGGGGGCUGCUCCUAGUACGAGAGGACCGGAGUGGACGCAUCACUGGUGUUCGGGUUGUCAUGCCAAUGGCACUGCCCGGUAGCUAAAUGCGGAAAAGAUAAGUGCUGAAAGCAUCUAAGCACGAAACUUGCCCCGAGAUGAGUUCUCCCUGACUCCUUGAGAGUCCUGAAGGAACGUUGAAGACGACGACGUUGAUAGGUCGGGUGUGUAAGCGCAGCGAUGCGUUGAGCUAACCGAUACUAAUGAACCGUGAGGCUUAACCUUACAACGCCGAAGGUGUUU